AGUGAACGCUGGCGGCGUGCCUAAUACAUGCAAGUCGAACGAAUUGGCGCACGGGUGCGUAAUAUAUAGAUAAUCUGCCCUACACAGAGGAACAACAGUUGGAAACGGCUGAGAAUACAUCAUAGUGUAGGAUGAGACUAUAUCGUAUCAGCUAGUUGGUAAGGUAAUGGCGUACCAAGGCUAUGACGCGUAACUGGUCUGAGAGGAUGAGCAGUCACGUUGGAACUGAGACACGGUCCAAACUCCUACGGGAAGCAGCAGGAAGGAAUAUUGCGCAAUGGGGGAAACCCUGACGCAGCAACGCCGCGUGGAGGAUGACACUUUUCGGAGCGUAUACUCCUUUUAUCAGGAAAGCGGUACCUGAUGAAUAAGCCCCGGCUAACUCCGUGCCAGCAGCCGCGGUAAUUC
rnacentral:rRNA from 1 species